UACAGAGGGGGCAAGCGUUGUUCGGAAUUACUGGGCGUAAAGGGCGCGUAGGUGGCCUUCUAAGUUGAACGUGAAAUCCCUGGGCUCAACCCAGGAACUGCGUCCAAGACUGGGAGGCUUGAAUCCGGGAGAGGGAUGCGGAAUUCCAGGUGUAGCGGUGAAAUGCGUAGAUAUCUGGAGGAACACCGGUGGCGAAGGCGGCAUCCUGGACCGGAACUGACGCUGAGGAGCGAAAGCGUGGGGAGCGAACAGG
rnacentral:rRNA from 1 species